GCCUUCGUAGCUCAGCGGAAGAGCGCGGUCGUCCGAAGGCCGAGGCCGCUGGUUCGAAUCCAGCCGGGGGCAC
rnacentral:tRNA from 1 species